UACGAGAGGCCCAAACGUUUAUUCGGAAUUACUGGGCGUAAAGGGUGCGUAGGCGGGUCUUUUAAGUCAGGGGUGAAAUCCUGGAGCUCAACUCCAGAACUGCCUUUGAUACUGAGGAUCUUGAGUUCGGGAGAGGUGAGUGGAACUCCGAGUGUAGAGGUGAAAUUCGUAGAUAUUCGGAAGAACACCAGUGGCGAAGGCGGCUCACUGGCCCGGUACUGACGCUGAGGUGCGAAAAGCGUGGGGAGCAAACAGG
rnacentral:rRNA from 1 species